AUGCACGCUGGCGGCGUGCCUAAUACCUGCAAGUCGCGCGAACAGACGAGGAGCUUGCUCCUCUGACGUUAGCGGCGGACGGGUGAGUAACACGUGGAUAACCUACCUAUAAGACUGGGAUAACUUCGGGAAACCGGAGCUAAUACCGGAUAACAUGUUGAACCGCAUGGUUCAACAGUGAAAGACGGUCUUGCUGUCACUUAUAGAUGGAUCCGCGCCGCAUUAGCUAGUUGGUAAGGUAACGGCUUACCAAGGCAACGAUGCGUAGCCGACCUGAGAGGGUGAUCGGCCACACUGGAACUGAGACACGGUCCAGACUCCUACGGGAGGCAGCAGUAGGGAAUCUUCCGCAAUGGGCGAAAGCCUGACGGAGCAACGCCGCGUGAGUGAUGAAGGUCUUCGGAUCGUAAAACUCUGUUAUUAGGGAAGAACAAAUGUGUAAGUAACUAUGCACGUCUUGACGGUACCUAAUCAGAAAGCCACGGCUAACUACGUG
rnacentral:rRNA from 1 species